UACGGAGGGUGCAAGCGUUAUCCGGAUUCACUGGGUUUAAAGGGUGCGUAGGUGGGCUAGUAAGUCCGUGGUGAAAUCUCCAAGCUUAACUUGGAAACUGCCGUGGAUACUAUUAGUCUUGAAUAUUGUGGAGGUAAGCGGAAUAUGUCAUGUAGCGGUGAAAUGCGUAGAUAUCGAGAGGAACACCUGCGGCGAAGGCGGGUUGCUGGGCUGACACUGACGCUGAUGCGCGAAAGCUAGGGGAGCGAACGGG
rnacentral:rRNA from 1 species